rnacentral:rRNA from 1 species
GAGCGCGUUCCAUACGGUGCGGCGACCGGACCUACCGUGCGACCUACCCUUUGGUUCGGAACAACCCAGUGGAAACUUGGGCUAAUACCGGAUAAUCCCUUACUGGGAAAGAUUCAUCGCCGAAGGAUCGGCCCGCGUCUGAUAAGCUAGUUGGUGGGGUAAUGGCCCACCAAGGCGACGAUCAUCAUCUGGUCUGAUAGGAUGAUCUUCCUCACUGGGACUGAUACACUGUCCAUACUCCUACGGGAGGCAUCAGUGGGGAAUAUUGGACAAUGGGCGCAAGCCUGAUCCAGCCAUGCCGCGUGGGUGAUGAAGGCCCUAUGGUUGUAAAGCCCUUUCGGCGGGGAAGAUAAUGACUGUACCCGCAUAAGAAGCCCCGGCUAACUUCGUGCCAUCAGCCGCGGUAAU